UUUUUUUUUUUUAAGGCUGAAGUAUCAGUGGAGUGCAGGAAAUGAAAAAUUAGAGCGGAAUGAAACCAGAAAUCUUUGAGAAACAUGGCUCUGGCUCUGCUGUGGGCAAGAGCCUUUGCUGGAGGAAAUAUACUGUUCCAGUUAUAUCACAUCCAGUUCCAAGAGGUUAAAACGUAAUAACAUUUAUAAAGAAGAGAUCUGACUACACAGAAUGCCACAUAGCCAACGCCACAGGAAAUAGACCUGCUGAAAGAUCGAGUUACCAGUUUUCCAUCUCUCUCACCUGUUUUAGUCUCUUGACCUCCUGUUCCAGCUCACUCUCACGUGUUCGAGUGC